GCAAUUCUUCAUUUCAACUGUGUUUUUUAAAGCGUGCAGACUUAGCGUACCUGAAGCAAAAAUUUUCAAAGAGACCCCUUUCAAAAAUUUUGGAGGAAGUGAUUGUGAUUAGAAGUGAAUUGGGAUAGAGCCAAAAAAAAGUUGCAUUGAAGAAUUAUGCACUUUUCAAUAAAUUUCUUUACGAGGCCUUAAAAGAUGAUUACUCACACCCUGAUUUUGAGGAUCAUUGAAGAUCAAAAAGACGUUUCUCAA